CUAGGAAGGCUGACACAUGAUGAGAAGAGUCAGUGGUCCUGAGGUACAGUACUUAAGAUAACCCUGUGAAGGCUGAGAUUGAUAUUUGAAAUUCACAACUGAUCUUGGAGCCUGGUACAGCAGUCAUGGAGCCAUAUUGGAUUGUGAAAGGAACUCAGUUGACCUGGCCUAUUGCAGAUUUAUUCUGAGAAUUUCAAUUCAGUCUUUGCUGCUGUUUGGAAAUCUUUCAUGAAUCUUUUAAUAACUUCCUUACAUACAUCUUGUUCCAUUAAAGCCCCAAAUUUGGCUUUGUCAGCUCUCUUUCUUCAUAAUCUUUAGGAUUUGUUCAUGUGUGGAUGUGAUGGAACUGAAGUCGCUAGGUUCAUGCUACCUGGAACAUGAGACUGACAAAUAGAGGAGCACUGAGUCAAAUGAAUCUCGGAGAAAUGGAGCUGGAAGAAAACUGGAGUAAGCCUGUCCCUGAAAGGGCACUACAUUUGGAUAUCCAGCAGUGGGACUCAAUAUUUUUUCUUGUUGUUUAAUCUCAUUUCUGUUACUUGCAGCCAAAGGCUCUUAAUGAGAAAAUGGCUCUACCUAGUUUUCUGAAAUUGCCUCAGUCUCUCCACUCUUCCCUAUUACAAAGGUCAUCUCUUUAAUUCACAUCCAAUAACUGAUAGUCUCUUGACUAAUCUACAUCCUCUCAUUCUCUCCUAAUUCACCUUUCAUACUGUUGCCAGGUGACUUUUCCUAAAAGACAACUUUCAUGAUGUCACUCUACUUCAUAAAUUCUUAUAAUGGUUUCUUUUUGCUUUUAGUCCAAACUCCUCAGGUUCGUUUUCAA
rnacentral:lncRNA from 10 species